AACCCCUGUGACAUACCACUUGUUGCCUCGGCGGAUCAGCCCGCUCCCGGUAAAACGGGACGGCCCGCCAGAGGACCCCUAAACUCUGUUUCUAUAUGUAACUUCUGAGUAAAACCAUAAAUAAAUCAAAACUUUCAACAACGGAUCUCUUGGUUCUGGCAUCGAUGAAGAACGCAGCAAAAUGCGAUAAGUAAUGUGAAUUGCAGAAUUCAGUGAAUCAUCGAAUCUUUGAACGCACAUUGCGCCCGCCAGUAUUCUGGCGGGCAUGCCUGUUCGAGCGUCAUUUCAACCCUCAAGCACAGCUUGGUGUUGGGACUCGCGUUAAUUCGCGUUCCUCAAAUUGAUUGGCGGUCACGUCGAGCUUCCAUAGCGUAGUAGUAAAACCCUCGUUACUGGUAAUCGUCGCGGCCACGCCGUUAAACCCCAACUUCUGAAUGUUGACCUCGGAUCAGGUAGGAAUACCCGCUGAACUUAAGCA
rnacentral:rRNA from 1 species